AUUGAACGCUGGCGGCAGGCCUAACACAUGCAAGUCGAACGGUAGCACAGAGAGCUUGCUCUCGGGUGACGAGUGGCGGACGGGUGAGUAACGUCUGGGAAACUGCCCGAUGGAGGGGGAUAACUACUGGAAACGGUAGCUAAUACCGCAUAACGUCGCAAGACCAAAGUGGGGGACCUUCGGGCCUCACACCAUCGGAUGUGCCCAGAUGGGAUUAGCUAGUAGGUGGGGUAAUGGCUCACCUAGGCGACGAUCCCUAGCUGGUCUGAGAGGAUUACCAGCAACACUGGAACUGGGACACGGUCCAGACUCCUACGGGAGGCAGCAGUGGGGAAUAUUGCACAAUGGGCGCAAGCCUGAUGCAGCCAUGCCGCGUGUAUGAAGAAGGCCUUCGGGUUGUAAAGUACUUUCAGCGGGGAGGAAGGCGGUGAAGUUAAUAGCUUCACCGAUUGACGUUACCCGCAGAAGAAGCACCGGCUAACUCCGUGCCAGCCGCCGCAGUAA
rnacentral:rRNA from 1 species